rnacentral:rRNA from 1 species
AGAUGUGUAUAAGAGACAGGUAUAGUACCGUGAGGGAAAGGUGAAAAGAACCCCGGGAGGGGAGUGAAAUAGAACCUGAAACCCUGCACUUACAAGCUGUGGAAGCACAUUUCUUGUGUGACCGCGUACUUUUUGUAGAACGGGCCAACGAGUUACGUUAAGUAGCAAGGUUAAGCACUUAAGGUGCGGAGCCGUAGCGAAAGCGAGUUUUAACUGAGCGUUCAGUUACUUGACGUAGACCCGAAACCGGGCGACCUACCCAUGAGCAGGAUGAAGCGAAAGUAAAAUUUCGUGGAGGUCCGAACCCACGAGCGUUGAAAAGCUCGGGGAUGACUUGUGGGUAGCGGUGAAAUUCCAAUCGAGCCCGGAGAUAGCUGGUUCUCCCCGAAAUAGCUUUAGGGCUAGCCUCAAGGUGAGAGAUACGGAGGUAGAGCACUGAAUGUCCUAGGGGGUAUUGCACCUACCGAAGACUAUCAAACUCCGAAUGCCGUCAUCUUAUACUUGGGAGUCAGACUGUGGGUGAUAAGAUUCAUAGUCGAAAGGGCAACAGCCCAGAUCGUCAGCUAAGGUCCCUAAAUGUAAGUUAAGUGGUAAAGGAUGUGGGAUUGCACAGACAACCAGGAUGUUGGCUUAGAAGCAGCCACUCAUUCAAAGAGUGCGUAAUAGCUCACUGGUCGAGUGAUCCUGCGCCGAAGAUUUCCGGGGCUAAAACUUACUACCGAAGCUACGGCAUCAGUAAUGAUGGGUAGGGGAGCUUCCCAUACGGGUUGAAGCAUGACCGUAAGGACAUGUGGACAGUAUGGGAGUGAGAAUGUUGGCAUGAGUAGCGAGAUGUGGGUGAGAAUCCCACAGGCCGUAAACCCAAGGUUUCCAGGGGAAGGUUCGUCCGCCCUGGGUUAGUCGGGACCUAAGCUGAGGCCGAAAGGCGUAGGUGAUGGACAACAGGUUGAUAUUCCUGUACUACCGAUAACCGUUUGAGAGAAGGGAUGACACAGUAGGAUAAGCUAAGCACACUGUUGGUUAUGUGUGCCCAAGCAUUGAGGCAGUCAAAGUAGGCAAAUCCGCUUUGAUAAUGCUGGGAUGUGAUGGGGAGCGAAAUUUAGUAGCGAAGUAGCUGAUUUCACACUGUCAAGAAAAGUCUCUAUCGAGGUUAAAGGUACCCGUACCGCAAACCGACACAGGUGGGUGAGGAGAGUAUCCUAAGGCCAGCGAGAGAACUGUUGUUAAGGAACUCGGCAAAAUGACCCCGUAACUUAGGGAUAAGGGGUGCCACCAUCAGGUGGCCGCAGAGAAUAGGCCCAAGCGACUGUUUACCAAAAACAUAGGUUUCUGCUAAGUCGCAAGACGAUGUAUAGGAGCUGACGCCUGCCCGGUGCUGGAAGGUUAAGGGGAUCUGUUAGAGCAAUCGAAGCAGUGAACUUAAGCCCCAGUAAACGGCGGCCGUAACUAUAACGGUCCUAAGGUAGCGAAAUUCCUUGUCGGGUAAGUUCCGACCCGCACGAAAGGCGUAACGAUUUGGGCACUGUCUCAACAACAGACUCGGUGAAAUUGUAAUUCCGGUGAAGAUGCCGGAUACCUGCGACAGGACGGAAAGACCCCAUGGAGCUUUACUGUAGCUUGACAUUGGGUCUUGGUACUACAUGUACAGGAUAGGUGGGAGGCUUUGAAACCAGGACGCCAGUUUUGGCGGAGCCAUCCUUGGGAUACCACCCUUGUAGUACUGGGACUCUAACCAUAGGCCAUGAAUCUGGUCUUGGGACACUGUCAGGUGGGCAGUUUGACUGGGGCGGUCGCCUCCCAAAAGGUAACGGAGGCGCUCAAAGGUUCUCUCAGUACGGUCGGAAAUCGUACGUAGAGUGUAAAGGCAAAAGAGAGCUUGAUUGCAAGACAUACAGGUCGAGCAAGGAUGAAAAUCGGACUUAGUGAUCCGGUGGUUCUGCGUGGAAGGGCCAUCGCUCAACGGAUAAAAGCUACCCUGGGGAUAACAGGCUUAUCUCCCCCAAGAGUCCACAUCGACGGGGAGGUUUGGCACCUCGAUGUCGGCUCAUCACAUCCUGGGGCUGUAGUAGGUCCCAAGGGUUGGGCUGUUCGCCCAUUAAAGUGGUACGCGAGCUGGGUUCAGAACGUCGUGAGACAGUUCGGUCCCUAUCCGUCGCAGGCGUAGGAAAUUUGAGAAGACCUGUCCUUAGUACGAGAGGACCGGGAUGGACGUACCUCUGGUGUACCAGUUGUCCUGCCAAGGGCAUGGCUGGGUAGCUAUGUACGGAAUGGAUAAGCGCUGAAAGCAUCUAAGCGCGAAGCCAACUUCAAGAUAAGAUUUCCCACCGCAAGGGUAAGACCCCAGAAAGACUAUCUGGUUGA